rnacentral:rRNA from 1 species
GUAGGGAAUAUUGCGCAAUGGACGAAAGUCUGACGCAGCGACGCCGCGUGAGUGAUGAAGGCCUUAGGGUCGUAAAGCUCUGUUGAAUGGGAAGAAAAAAAUGACGGUACCAUUCGAGGAAGGACCGGCUAACUUCGUGCCAGCAGCCGCGGUAAUACGAGGGGUCCUAGCGUUGUUCGGAAUCAUUGGGCGUAAAGGGUGUGUAGGUGGCCAUGUAAGUCAGGUGUGAAAGCCCCGGGCUCAACCCGGGAAGUGCACUUGAUACUGCGUGGCUUGAGUACCGAAGAGGGUAGUGGAAUUCCAGGUGUAGUGGUGAAAUACGUAGAUAUCGGGAGGAACACCGGUGGCGAAGGCGGCUACCUGGUCGAGUACUGACACUGAGACACGAAAGCAUGGGGAUCAAACAGGAUUAGAAACCCGUGUAGUCC